rnacentral:rRNA from 1 species
UAGGGAAUCUUCGGCAAUGGGGGGAACCCUGACCGAGCAACGCCGCGUGAGUGAAGAAGGUUUUCGGAUCGUAAAGCUCUGUUGUUAAGGAAGAACGAGUGUGAGAAUGGAAAGUUCAUGCUGUGACGGUACUUAACCAGAAAGGGACGGCUAACUACGUGCCAGCAGCCGCGGUAAUACGUAGGUCCCGAGCGUUGUCCGGAUUUAUUGGGCGUAAAGCGAGCGCAGGCGGUUAGAUAAGUCUGAAGUUAAAGGCAGUGGCUCAACCAUUGUAGGCUUUGGAAACUGUUUAACUUGAGUGCAGAAGGGGAGAGUGGAAUUCCAUGUGUAGCGGUGAAAUGCGUAGAUAUAUGGAGGAACACCGGUGGCGAAAGCGGCUCACUGGUCUGUAACUGACGCUGAGGCUCGAAAGCGUGGGGAGCGAACAGG